UACGGAGGGGGCUAGCGUUGUUCGGAAUUACUGGGCGUAAAGCGCGCGUAGGCGGACCUGCAAGUCGGGGGUGAAAGCCCAGGGCUCAACCUUGGAAUUGCCUUUGAUACUGGCUGUCUUGAGUACGGGAGAGGUGAGUGGAACUCCGAGUGUAGAGGUGAAAUUCGUAGAUAUUCGGAAGAACACCAGUGGCGAAGGCGGCUCACUGGACUGGUAUUGACGCUGAGGUGCGAAAGCGUGGGGAGCAAACAGG
rnacentral:rRNA from 1 species